GGAGUCACUUACUGAACAUCUUGGGGAAGUUCUAGAACAUCUUAUUGAUGACAUAUUAAAACCACUUUUGGCAGAUUUAGGAGUUACAGAAAAACUUUUUCAAGCUGUAUGCGCUUUGUUGGGUGAUCUACUUGCCUCAGAAUGCGUGGAGAAACUUUUGGCCCAAAAUGUUCCAAACCUUGUAGAUGAACUUCAAGCUAUUGCAUGUAAAGCUAACGACCCUGAUAGGCUAUAUCUUGAGCUCUAUGAUGCCUUA